GCCUCUAGGAAAAGGCCAACAGGACUGACGGCAACUUCCAGAUCACAUUCUUACUAGAAAUUGCCCUUGAAUGCAAACAUGGUGCUGGUGAGAUAACUUUGUCCAUUCAUCCAAGGGAAACAUCCUCAAACUGAUGCAUCAAUCAAACAAAAGAAGCCUUGUCCUCCAUUGCCCUCUUAGAUCAUAAUCAAUUCCAUGCCUGGAUGGCUUCUUAUCUGUUACAUGGACAGAGAUAACUUUCUGUCUUGUUUCGGUCACUAUUUUUGGCUCUGUUUUUAGCAACUCAGCUUAUACUCCAUCUAUUGCAAUUUUUUUUUCUUCUAAUGCUUGCUUUUUAAUAUUCUGUGUAAGAAUUUAAAAGUUCUAGUGAGUACAUUCCAAAAAGUAACACAAACCGUAAAGUUGAUAUAAUUAGGAAGUGUUUUUUUGUAAUUUAACAACUUAGGAAAUUUAUGACCAGAAAACCCAACACACUAUCUCCAAUUUUUUUAAUAAAAUGUCUCGUAAAUCUGAAUUUUGAAAAAUAAAAGUUCACUUGAAUAAUUUUAAUACUGCAUAAUUAGCAAGGAAGACUUUUCAAAAUAAACAUACUCAAAGUUCCUUAAGAUAUAGUGGACAGGAAUCUUUAACACUGGAGCCUAGAUUUGUGAUGCUGAGACAUACAGAAUAAUGUUUAAAAAUCCUAUGCCUUGCCCCAAAAAAAUGCUCCCGCUAAUCUAAGAGCAGUAGGGGAGCACUUCAGAUAGUGGUUAGUGGAUUUGUAUUAAUUUUUACAAACACUUUCCUGAUAAUCCAAUGGCCAAAACAGAUGUUUUCAAAUUGCUAUUGAGAACACUAUGAAGAGAGCCAUCACUGGUAGCAAUGCAAGGGGGAAAUCUUGAGCAGAAAAUAGGAGUACCCUCAGAAUUUGCUUUCCAGGGCUUAGAGGAGACAAGAAUAGGCAUAUCUAAUGCACAGUGAGCAUUUAAAAAAUCCUUCCAUUGAUAUCUGAAGACCACCUUCCCUUACCACUGACCUGUGUCUUUCCAAUGCAGUUUGAGCACUUACUCUUCAAAUUUGAGAAGCACCAGUGCUCAAUGACCAGCUACAAAUGGUGAAAGACAGAAAACAAAUAUGAAUUUAACUAUAUAGCAAUAGUCUUUUGAGUAUUCGUAGCCUAGUAUAAUUUUACCAGAAAAAAAAAAAAAUAAUUUUAAGAAUGCAUUAGGGAGAUUGAAGACUUCUAUUCAACAGAUGAUGGAGAACCCAAAAGUGUGAAUAUUUAUGCAAACUUGAAAUACUAGGAAAACGCUGGUAUAUGAGAUUAAGUUUACACGUACAACAUCCCCAUUCACCCUGAGCAAAAUUCUUCUUACAUAAUAAGUCUAUCUGAAGUCAAUGGGAAAUAAAAAUAUGGGGAAAGGAGAGAGGACAAACUGUCCCAGGCAAAAUAAUAAAGACUGAAAGAUCAGAUAUAAUCUGUAGGAAGACAUUCAAUUUUACAUAACUGAUGCAUUAAAGACUCACAAUGACCAAUUUGUCAGAGUUCUUAUCACAGCACCUGGCACAAAGUGCCUCCUCAGUGAACAUUAGUUUCCUUCCUUCUCCCCACCUUCUCCUUUUGUCCCUUAGUAUUUUUAACUCCCAGUACUGCCUGCUUCUGUUUUCUCCUUGAUGAAGACAUUGUAAACAAGCCCUUUGGUGAGCUCUUCAUGUAAUUAGUCAUCAAAGGAUUAUUACCAGAUAUCCUUACACUAUUUCCCCUAAAACUAACCAAGAUCACAGUACCUGCUCCUGCUUCCAUGCAUAGGCUAGAUUCCCUUUGGUUUCCUGUUUCCCAGGAUGCUGCUUUCCCUUCAUUAACUGGCAACAUUCUCUUACUUGUAUUUGUCCCCAUCUCCCUUUAAUUAUAUUUAAACAUCUUCUUUUCAAAAGCUCUGUAGUUUGGCCCUCAUCCUGUUUUUAUUCUUCCAUUCAAUGCCAGACUCACUGUAUGUAGGUCCCCUUUAUACUGCUUCUAAAUAUUUUCCACUUAAUCCUCUAUAAUUGGUCUUCUGUACUGAAUUCAUGAAACAAUUAUCUCAAAGGCAACAAUAACCUUUCUCCAUCUAUUUCACUUUUCUCUAACAUUUAGUAGAAAUAUCAAAUUUCAAAUUCCUUGAUUUUCCAAGACUGCACUCUUGUUUUUCUUAGUGCUUCUAUUUCCUUUCCCAUAAUGUGGAUUAAAUGAACUAAUAGAUUAUUGGAUUAAAAAGAUGUGGUGUAUAUACAUACAAUGAAAUACUAUUCAGCCAUAAAAAAUAACAAAAUAAUGGUAGUUGCAGCAACAUGGAUGGAACUAAAGACUCUUAUACUAAGUGUAUUAAGUCAGAAAGAGAAAGAAAGGAGUUCCCAUCAUGGCUUAGUGGUUAAGAAAUCUGAGUAGGAACCAUAAGGUUUGAUCCCUGGCCUAUGCCAGUGGGUUAAGGAUCCAGCGUUGCCGUGAGCUGUGGUGUAGGUUGCAGACACAGCUUGGAUCCCGAGUUGCUGUGGCUCUGGCAUAGGCCGGUGGCUAUAGCUCCAAUUAGACCCCUAGCCUGGGAGCCUCCAUAUGCCAUGGGAGUGGUCCUAUAAAAAGGCAAAAAGACAAAAAGAAAAAGACAAGUACCACAUGAUAUUGCUUAUAUUUGGAAUCUAAUAUAUAACAAAUGAAACUUUCCAGAGAAAAGAAAAUCAUGGACAUGGAGAAUAGACAUGUGGUUGCCAAGAGGGAAGAGGAGGGAGUGGGAUGGAUUGGGAAUCUGGGGUUAAUAGAUGCAAACUAUUGCCUUUGGAAUGGAUAAGCAGUGAGAUCCUGCUGUAUAGCACUGGGAACUAUAUCUAGUCACUUAUGAUGGAGCAUGAUAAUGUGAGAAAAAACAAUGUAUACAUGUAUGUGUAACUGGGUCACCUUGCUGUACAGUGGAGAAUUAACAGAACACUGUAAACCAGCUAUAAUGGACAAAAUAAGAAUCAUUAUAAAAUAAAAAAAUAAAAAUAAAUGACCCAAUAGGCUUGACAUGCUUAGAGUAGGCCAUGCAUAUAGAAUUCUACUCCAUAAAUUUUUUAUUGCUUUAGUCAUUAUGUCUAAAGCAUCCUGUCUUCACUGCCUGAAAUUCUAGGAUGGUGUCCUUCUGCCCAUCUUGAUAUUGAGAUGACAGCUUAUUCACUCUCAUAAUUCUCUAUACAUUUUACUCCCAAAUGCAUCCCCCAGACUUAACCAUGUAUACCUCUAUCCCCUACUUUCAAUUGCCCACCUAAGCCCUUCACUCCUAUAUCUUGCCAGCUAUGGAAACACAUCAGAUCCCAAAAUCAGCUCCCCUUGGUGAUCAAUCUUUUCAUUGUUAUUUUCUUGUUAUCUAUGACCCUGCAUGCCAUAUGUAACCUAAGACUUGAUCCUUAUUUCAAAAUAUUUGAGUUGUCCAUUUCUCUCUGUUCCUAUAGCUCAGAUCUAAAUCAAACUAUACCUUAGGUAGAGCA
rnacentral:lncRNA from 1 species